GCUUACGGCCAUACCACCCUGAGCGCGCCCGAUCUCGUCUGAUCUCGGAAGCUAAGCAGGUUUGGGCCUGGUUAGUACUUGGAUGGGAGACCGCCUGGGAAUACCAGGUGCUGUAAGCU
rnacentral:rRNA from 1 species